CCCGCACAAGCGGUGGAGCAUGUGGUUUAAUUCGAAGCAACGCGAAGAACCUUACCAGGUCUUGACAUCCCCUGACAACCCGAGAGAUCGGGCGUUCCCCCUUCGGGGGGACAGGGUGACAGGUGGUGCAUGGUUGUCGUCAGCUCGUGUCGUGAGAUGUUGGGUUAAGUCCCGCAACGAGCGCAACCCUCGACCUUAGUUGCCAGCAUUCAGUUGGGGCACCCUAAGGUGACUGCCGGCUAAAAGUCGGAGGAAGGUGGGGAUGACGUCAAAUCAUCAUGCCCCUUAUGACCUGGGCUACACACGUGCUACAAUGGGCGGUACAAAGGGUCGCGAACCCGCGAGGGGGAGCCAAUCCCAAAAAGCCGCUCUCAGUUCGGAUUGCAGGCUGCAACUCGCCUGCAUGAAGCCGGAAUCGCUAGUAACCGCAGGUCAGCAAUACUGCGGUGAAUACGUUCCCGGGUCUU
rnacentral:rRNA from 1 species